rnacentral:rRNA from 1 species
CGGGACGGGUGAGUAAUGUAUGGGGAUCUGCCUGAUGGCGGGGGAUAACUACUGGAAACGGUAGCUAAUACCGCAUAAUGUCUACGGACCAAAGCGGGGGACCUCCGGGCCUCGCGCCAUCAGAUGAACCCAUAUGGGAUUAGCUAGUAGGUGGGGUAACGGCUCACCUAGGCGACGAUCCCUAGCUGGUCUGAGAGGAUGACCAGCCACACUGGAACUGAGACACGGUCCAG